rnacentral:rRNA from 1 species
GACGAACGCUGGCGGCGUGCUUAACACAUGCAAGUCGAACGGAAAGGCCCUGCUUUUGUGGGGUGCUCGAGUGGCGAACGGGUGAGUAACACGUGAGUAACCUGCCCUUGACUUUGGGAUAACUUCAGGAAACUGGGGCUAAUACCGGAUAGGAGCUCCUGCUGCAUGGUGGGGGUUGGAAAGUUUCGGCGGUUGGGGAUGGACUCGCGGCUUAUCAGCUUGUUGGUGGGGUAGUGGCUUACCAAGGCUUUGACGGGUAGCCGGCCUGAGAGGGUGACCGGCCACAUUGGGACUGAGAUACGGCCCAGACUCCUACGGGAGGCAGCCGUGGGGAAUAUUGCACAAUGGGCGGAAGCCUGAUGCAGCCACGCCGCGUGCGGGAUGACGGCCUUCGGGUUGUAAACCGCUUUCGCCUGUGACGAAGCGUGAGUGACGGUAAUGGGUAAAGAAGCACCGGCUAACUACGUG